UACGUAGGGCGCAAGCGUUGUCCGGAAUUAUUGGGCGUAAAGAGCUCGUAGGCGGCUUGUCACGUCGACUGUGAAAACCCGAGGCUUAACCUCGGGCCUGCAGUCGAUACGGGCAGACUAGAGUUCGGUAGGGGAGACUGGAAUUCCUGGUGUAGCGGUGAAAUGCGCAGAUAUCAGGAGGAACACCGGUGGCGAAGGCGGGUCUCUGGGCCGAUACUGACGCUGAGGAGCGAAAGCGUGGGGAGCGAACAGG
rnacentral:rRNA from 1 species